GGGCCUUCGGGAAAUGUAAGACAGGUGCUGCAAAGCUGUCGUCAGCUCGUGUUGUGAAAUGUUGGGUUAAGUCCCGCAACGAGCGCAACCCUUAUCCUUGUUUGCCAGCACUUCGGGUGGGAACUCCAGGGAGACUGCCGGUGAUAAACCGGAGGAAGGUGGGGACGACGUCAAGUCAUCAUGGCCCUUACGAGUAGGGCUACACACGUGCUACAAUGGCGCAUACAGAGGGCGGCCAACUUGCGAAAGUGAGCGAAUCCCAAAAAGUGCGUCGUAGUCCGGAUUGGAGUCUGCAACUCGACUCCAUGAAGUCGGAAUCGCUAGUAAUCGUGGAUCAGAAUGCCACGGUGAAUACGUUCCCGGGCCUUGUACACACCGCCCGUCACACCAUGGGAGUGGGCUGCAAAAGAAGUGGGUAGUUUAACCUUCGGGAGGACGCUCACCACUUUGUGGUUCAUGACUGGGGUGAAGUCGUAACAAGGUAACCG
rnacentral:rRNA from 1 species